rnacentral:lncRNA from 1 species
UCUGCUUAUGGAGCUUGCUCAUUAAUUUCCCUUCGCCCACAGAUUCACCUCAUAGAAGUUCCCUGGAAAUAGAUGAUUGAAGAAAAAAUGAGCCUGAUUUCCAGAUGGUUCUUUAUGAUAAGUUUGAAUCACUUGGAACUGCUUUGUGGCAGCAUGAUAUUCCCAUUUAGGGUUGCUCUGGAGGAAAGGGGAAAAGCCCUCGUCCAAGGAGGUGGCUGCAUGAAUUUAUUAAUCAAGGAAAGAAGACAGCUAUGCCCAUAUAAACCUGAAAGCAAAUUUGAUUAGUCCUGGUUGCAUUGCCUACUUCACUGCACACGAG